rnacentral:lncRNA from 1 species
UUUAUUCUUGUUAUGAUUUCGUGUUCCGCGUUCCAUGUUUUAUUACGAAUCUGUGUGCUUUCCUCUGCUUUCCUCUGUUUUAUAUUACUUAUGGGUGUCGUAUUUAUGUUAUGUAAUCUGCUUCUGUGCUUUACUAUGUGUUUGUGUGGUAUCUCGUGCCUUGAGUCGGGGGUCUAUCGGAAACAGCCUUUCUACUUCAUCAGAGGUAGAGGUAUGGACUGCGUACAUCUUAACCCCCCCAGACCCCACUAGGUGGGAAUACACUGG